GGAUUGUGAAGGUGAUCUAGCUGCAGCCUGUCACCUCACGAUGGCCAGGGUUAAUUUGGUUGAUGUGGCUGGCUAGACCAGUGUCUCCUUCCCCCUCACUGUUCCUUGUACAUCCCUCCCCCAAAGCUGUGUGUUCAAAGAGGAUGACCACCCCUGAGAGAGGAACCUUCCUCAGUAGUCAAGGGUAUAUGAGCAGCUGUGCUCCCCAACUAGAACCUCUAAGUAAGCACUUAAGAAUACAUCAGGUGUGGGGGCUGGGGAGAUAGCUCAGUGGAACAAGUGCUUGCCUAGCAAGCUCAAGGGCCU
rnacentral:snRNA from 1 species